rnacentral:rRNA from 1 species
CCUACGGGAGGCAGCAGUGAGGAAUAUUGGUCAAUGGCCGGAAGGCUGAACCAGCCAUGCCGCGUGAAGGUCAGUGCCCUAUGGGCGUUAAACUUCUUUUGUGCGGGAGCAAUAAUGGUCACGUGUGGCCAGACGAGAGUACCGUACGAAUAAGCAUCGGCUAACUCCGUGCCAGCAGCCGCGGUAAUACGGGGGAUGCAAGCGUUAUCCGGAUUUAUUGGGUUUUAAGGGUGCGUAGGCUGUGAGGUAAGUCAGCGGUGAAAUGCCCCCGCUCAACGGGGUGAAGUGCCAUUGAUACUGCCUGGCUGGAAUGCGGAUGCGGUGGGAGGAAUGUGUGGUGUAGCGGUGAAAUGCAUAGAUAUCACACAGAACACCGAUUGCGAAGGCAUCUCACGAAUCCGCGAUUGACGCUGAUGCACGAAAGCGUGGGUAUCAAACAGGAUUAGAUACCCCUGUAGUC